rnacentral:rRNA from 1 species
UACGUAGGGUGCGAGCGUUAAUCGGAAUUACUGGGCGUAAAGCGUGCGCAGGCGGUUCGCUGUGUCCGAUGUGAAAGCCCCGGGCUCAACCUGGGAAUGGCAUUUGAAACUGGCGGGCUGGAGUGUGGCAGAGGGGGGUGGAAUUCCACGUGUAGCAGUGAAAUGCGUAGAGAUGUGGAGGAACACCGAUGGCGAAGGCAGCCCCCUGGGCCAACACUGACGCUCAGGCACGAAAGCGUGGGGAGCAAACAGG